AAGAACCCCGAUGGUGCCGUCUUCACCUGGUCAACCGACACGGGGAACACGGGGAACACGCCUGUGCUGCUUAGUGCCCAGGAGGACUCCUGCGGCUGCUACAGUGUGUCCAGUGUGCUGCCUGGCUGUGCAGAACUCUGGAACCAGGGCACAAAGUUCACAUGCACUGUCCAACACCCUGAGAUAGAGGGCUCACUGACUGACACCAUCAGCAAAGACACAGGGAACAUCAUCCCACCCCAGGUGCACCUGCUGCCACCGCCGUCAGAAGAGCUGGCCCUGAACGCACUGGUGACACUGACCUGCCUGGUGCGCGGCUUCAGCCCCAAGGACGUGCUCAUCUACUGGCUGCACCUACACAAGCUGGUCCCCAAGGAAGACUUCAUCGUGUUUAAGCCCCUGCCAGAACCCAACCAGAAUUCCAGCACCUUCGCCGUGACCAGCCUGCUGCGCGUCUCGGUCGUGGAUUGGAACAACGGGGACAACUUCUCCUGCGUGGUGGGCCACGAGGGCCUGCCCAAGAACUUCACCGAGAAGACCAUCGACCGUCUGUCGGGUGACUGGGAACCCAUCCCCUGGGUGAUGCUGGAUCAAGACAGCCUGGAGGAGGCUCCCGGAGACAGCCUGUGGCCUACCACCAUCACCCUCCUCACCCUCUUCCUGCUGAGCCUGUUCUACAGCACUGCGCUCACCAUGACCAGCAUCCGGGGCACACCUGGCAGCAAAGAGGGACCCCAGUACUGAGGCACAGGUGUUGGUGCCC